rnacentral:rRNA from 1 species
AUUGAACGCUGGCGGCAGGCCUAACACAUGCAAGUCGAGCGAGCGGCGGACGGGUGAGUACUGUAUGGGGACUGCCCGAUAGAGGGCGAUAACUACUGGAAACGGUGGCUACUACCGCAUACUAUCGGAUAACCCAUAUGGGAUUAGCUAGUAGGUGGGGUAAAGGCUCACCUAGGCGACGAUCUCUAGCUGGUCUGAGAGGAUGAUCAGCCAAACGGGGACUGGGAAACGGCCCAGACUCCAAGGGGGGAAGAGGGGGGGAAUAUUGCAAAAUGGGGAAAAGCCUGAUGCAGCCAGGCGGGGUGGAUGAAGAGGGCCUUAGGGUUGUAAAGUACUUUCAGAGGGGAGGCGUUACCCGAAGAAGAAGCACCGGCUAACACGGGGCCAGCGCCGCGGUAAUAC